rnacentral:rRNA from 1 species
UACGUAGGGAGCAAGCGUUGUCCGGAAUCAUUGGGCGUAAAGAGCGCGUAGGUGGCUUUAUAAGUCCGUUGUGAAAGUCAAAGGCUCAACCUUUGAAAGCCGAUGGAUACUGUGAAGCUAGAGUACGGAAGAGGCGAGUGGAAUUCCUGGUGUAGCGGUGGAAUGCGCAGAUAUCAGGAGGAACACCCAAUAGCGAAGGCAGCUCGCUGGGACGUUACUGACACUGAG